CUUAAACCAAUAAAAUUAAAUCUUCUAAAUUAUUAAGUCCUUAAAAUGAUACAGUUAUAGAAAUAACUUGUUCAUAGCCUCCCAUUAACGUGCGUGAUAAUGAGUCCAAUAUUUCAAAUAGGCAUUAGAGGUGCCACAUGCCUGGUGUCUAUUGGAUAUUGAAAUUAUCAUUCAUCAUAUAACCAUCUUGUUGUACCUUCAGAUCAAUGCUUAAGUUGGUCGAGCCAUACUCGGGUCUAGACAUUCAUUUGAUGGAUGCAUUUGGUAUUAUCAUGU
rnacentral:lncRNA from 1 species